UACGAAGGGGGCUAGCGUUGUUCGGAAUUACUGGGCGUAAAGCGCACGUAGGCGGAUCGAUCAGUCAGGGGUGAAAUCCCAGAGCUCAACUCUGGAACUGCCUUUGAUACUGUCGAUCUAGAGUAUGGAAGAGGUGAGUGGAAUUCCGAGUGUAGAGGUGAAAUUCGUAGAUAUUCGGAAGAACACCAGUGGCGAAGGCGGCUCACUGGACCGGCAUUGACGCUGAGGUGCGAAAGCGUGGGGAGCAAACAGG
rnacentral:rRNA from 1 species